GAUGAAGAACGUAGCGAAAUGCGAUAAGUAAUGUGAAUUGCAUAAUUCAGUGAAUCAUCGAAUCUUUGAACGCACCUUGCACUCCUUGGUAUUCCGAGGAGUACGCCUGUUCGAGUGUUAUGAAGCUCUCAAAACGCAAUUGGCUUAAAACCUGAUUGUUGUUUUGGAUUUGAACUUUGCCGUGUUAUAACGGCUGGUUUUAAAAGUAUUAGCUGGUACUAGAACGAAUUGGUUCUACUCAACGUGAUAAUUAUCUGAUCGUUGAGGACAUUCCUUUCACGAGGAAUGGCCAUAGUAAAUUCAAUGGACUGCUUCUAAUCUGGCUUUAAUUCUUUAUUGGAUUAACCACUUUUCAAAUCUGACCUCGAAUCAGGUGGGACUACCCGCUGAACUUAAGCAUAUCAAUAAGCGGAGGA
rnacentral:misc_RNA from 1 species